rnacentral:rRNA from 1 species
UACGGAAGGUGCGAGCGUUGUUCGGAAUGACUGGGCGUAAAGCGCACGUAGGCGGUUUUGUAAGUCGAAUGUGAAAUCCCUGGGCUCAACCCGGGAACUGCAUCCGAAACUACUAAACUUGAUGAUCUUAAGAGGUUGGUGGAAUUCCUGGUGUAGGAGUGAAAUCCGUAGAUAUCAGGAGGAACAUCGGAGGCGAAGGCGGCCAACUGGUGAUGCAUUGACGCUGAGGUGCGAAAGCGUGGGGAGCAAACAGG